CAACCCUUCAAACGCUGCGAGAGCUGCAGCCUCCUUCAAUUCAACCCCCGGAACUUACGCCACACUCAGAACACAGGGAUUCGCUGCCACCCCGGGAUACCCCUAACACCCUGGAAAAGGCAUGUUUUCCUUCAAUCAAGACCCUCAAAACCACGAGUGCACGGGAAUCCCACCCAGUUCAAACACAGGCAAUAAUGGAAGAGAAGUUGCUUCCCUCAUUUUGAAUUUCUUUUGUCUUAAUAAACCCUAGUUUGUUUGGG